rnacentral:lncRNA from 10 species
GUAUGUUUGCUGUGGCACUAUUCACAAUAGCAAAGACUUGGAACCAACCCAAAUGUCCUUCAAUGAUAGACUGGAUUAAGAAAAUGUGGCACAUAUACACCAUGGAAUACUAUGCAGCUAUAAAAAAGGAUGAGUUCAUGACCUUUGCAGGGACAUGAAUGAAGCUGGAAACCAUCAUUCUGAGCAAACUAUCACAAGGACAGAAAACCAAACACCAUAUGUUCUCACUCAUAAGUGGGAAUUGAACAAUGAGAACACUUGGACACAGGGCGCACACACUGGGGCCUGUCGUGGGGUGGGGGCAGGGGGAGGGACAACAUUAGGAGAAAUACCUAAUGUAAAUGACCAGUUGAUGGGUACAGCAAACCAACAUGGCACAUGUAUCUAUGUAACAAACCUGUAGGUUGUGCACAUGUACCCUAGAACUUAAAGUAUAUAUAUAAAAAAAAAGUUAAACCUGAAUCUGAUCAAAUCUCUAACUAAGUAGAUGCAGCUCAACUUUUUUUUUAAGCAGCAAAUCUUAAUAUAGACAACUUUAUCAUCUCCCACUGUAUUUUCUACAGUUCAAUUAUCUUUGAUUGAUACCAACUUAAGAAAUAAUUUUUUUUUUUUUUUUUUUGAGAUGGAGUCUUGCUCUGUCGCCCAGGCUGGAGUGCAGUGGUGUGCUCUCAGCUCACUGCAACCAAUGCCUCCCGGGUUCAAGUGAUUCUCAUGCCUCAGCCUCCCGAGUAGAUUAUACACGUGCACCACCACACCCGGCUAAUUUUGUAUUUUUAGUAGAGGCAGGGUUUUGCCAUGUUGGCUAGGUUGGUCUCGAACUCCUGGACUCAAGUGAUCCACCUGCCUCAGCCUCCCUAAGUGCUAGGAUUACAGGUGGAGCCACCAAGCCCAGACCAGGAAAUAACAUUAGUUAACAGAAAAUUAGCUUUGUUUAAAAUAAUAAUGGUCAUACUUAUGUUUGAUUGAGUACUUACUAUGUGACACACAUCAAAUACCUCAUUCAAUUCUCACAAGAACUUGGGGUAGGCCCUAUUUUCCAUUCAUUCAUUCAAUAAAUACUUGGUGGGCACCUAGUCUGUGCUAGGCCCUGGUCUAGCCGCUGGGAUUUUUCAUUAAAUAAAACAG